rnacentral:rRNA from 1 species
AGGACGAACGCUGGCGGCGUGCUUAACACAUGCAAGUCGAGCGGAAAGGCCCUUCGGGGUACUCGAGCGGCGAACGGGUGAGUAACACGUGAGCAACCUGCCCUUAGCUUCGGGAUAGCUCCGGGAAACCGGAAUUAAUACCGAAUAUGACUUUGGCUGACAUCAGCAGAAGUGGAAAGUUUUUCGGCUAGGGAUGGACUCGCGGCCUAUCGGCUAGUUGGUGAGGUAACGGCCCACCAAGGCGACGACGGGUA